UUGACCUCGGAUUAGGUAGGAAUACCCGCUGAACUUAAGCAUAUCAAUAAGCGGAGGAAC
rnacentral:rRNA from 1 species